AGACGGCCCAGACUCCUACGGGAGGCAGCAGUGGGGAAUCUUGCGCAAUGGCCGGAAGGCUGACGCAGCGACGCCGCAUGUGGGAGGACGCCUUUCGGGGUGUAAACCACUGUUGCCCGGGACGAACAGCCUGUUUCGACAGGCCUGACGGUACCGGGUGAGGAAGCACCGGCUAACUCCGUGCCAGCAGCCGCGGUAAUACGGAGGGUGCGAGCGUUGUCCGGAAUCAUUGGGCGUAAAGGGCGCGUA
rnacentral:rRNA from 1 species